UUGAAUUAUUUUUUAUUGUCAAAAACUGAACUAGGUUGCUGUCUUCUUAUUAAGGUUGGUAAAUUAGGAACUGGAAGGAUCAAAUUCAGUUAGAUGGACAAGUGAUUGAAUUGAGUUACCGCAGCUCGUAGGGGUUCUAUUCCCUGGUGGCAAUUGCUGAGAGGAAGCGUAGAGAGAAGCUCAGCCAGCACUUCAUUGCUUUAUCUGCCCUUGUUCCUGGCCUAAAAAAGCUUGAUGUUCAUUGAUCACUAGUGUUCACUGCAUCGCUGUUCACUAUGAUUCUUUGUUGUUCGUUGCUUUCCCUUUAUCAAUCAAGGUUGGACUCCAUUUGCUCUUGUGCUCUCUAGACUCCGUUUACUCCUAUGUGGAGUUUCUUAUCCAUGUCCAUAGGCAAAUCUAGAAUAAAAUGAGAUCAUAACCAAGAUCUGCUGCUUCAUUUUUCAAGCCUUUAGACCUAAAUGAUAGAGCAAACCUAAACCCCAAGAAUAGGUGAGAUUCUGCUCAUUUAUGCGCAUUCAUUUACCUUGCGUUUGUGAAAGGAAAACCAGAAAAUACGUUUUUGUUGUUUAAAUUUUGUUGACGUACAUGUAUAAGUUAGUUGAUGUUCGUAAUAAUUUGAUAUUAUCCCAUACCAAUUGGAUUCUUGUCCCAUAGUGGUUAUGCAAUUUUUUCUUUCAAAAAGUAACUUCCAAAAAGUUAAAGCUUUGUGCCUGCUCCACCACUAGUACAAGAAACAUUUAUUGAUGGAAAUUUUUACUUUGUUGACUUCAAUAGAUGAUUGAUGGCACCUUUUUUUCUCAAGCUAAGUUUGUUGACAUAAGAUGGAGAACUAUUGUCUCAAAAUUAUGAUAUUACGUACUUUGAAAUUUUGAUGCCAUAAAUUUGUAAUGGUAACCAAGUUUGUUGCUUUUGCUCUUAUCAUUUUUGUGACAAACCAUUAAUAUUAAUUUGUGAAACAUUUAGAAUAGUUGAGUUUCACUUGUGUAUACAAAGUAUUUCUGUGUUAUAAAAAUAGAAAAUUUAUUAAGCCAAGGAAGUCAAAGCAAGUUUCCAUUCAGAUUACAUCUUAAAAGCAAAAAAGUUUACCUAAAUAACAAAAUACUUCGGACUUUACAUGUCAAAAUAUUUUACAACUGAAUUUCUUG